UCCUUUACCAGUCCAAAUGCUAUACCGGUUAAACUCCGCCAUUUUGCCUCUUAGUGCUCAUGCUUGAGCCCGCUUGCCCAACUCCUGAGAUGUCAUCGGGAAGCUGCUGAUCAGCAAUUACAGCUCAGCCCCGCCUUCACUGAAACUAUCUCAGAACCAGUGGCUUUGGUUGGGCACUGGAAGUACAUAAAGAAGAAGACAUACAUGCUGUCUCAGGGUGAUCGUGGGUCUCUAGCCAGGAGUCAGAUGACAUCACCACCAUCACAAGCUGGUGAUGCCAGAGAGAACACAGCAAGCAGUCACCGUCUAUGAACUAGAAAGCUGAUUCACCAGACACCGAAUCUGCCAGCACCUUGGUUUGGACUUCCCAGCCUCCAGAACUAGGAAAUGUUCCAACACAUCUGAGGAAACACAUGCCUUCCCAGACUGGCCUGAUGCUGUUCCCCAGGAGCUGCAUUCUGGAAGGUGGACCAUCAGGUGGAAGAAGUAUUCUUCAGAGAGCUGCCUUCCCAAGGGAAUGGUGACAGCUUGCGCUUGCCGGGGAGUCCUGCUGCCUUCCGAGGUGUGAAGGGAAGGCAUGCACUGUGCAUAUGCUGUACCAUACAGUUUUGCCUACAACUGCUUGUAGCUUCAUUGUAGCUGUGAAUGCUCCGUUCCUCUCCUUUUCACCCCUGAAGAUUCGCGAACAUGCAGGAUUCAGCUGUGUGAGGCAUAGCAUUCCCCACAUGGUAGGCGAAGGCGGAUGGGGGUCUGAUGGCUCUACCGCCGUCCACCCGGGCGGAUGGACAUGUGUUCCGGGAUAUCAGAGCUUGCGGCUGACCAGCCCACAUGUCCACGCAGCCCUCCCGCUGGCUGUGUGGACAUUUUGGGUGUCACUGAAGGAUUUUACCGGUGCAGACUUUUACAAAGGCAAAAUUGUUUCUCAAGGAAGUGGACAUGAAAGAUCUAAAAUCAGGGCUGCUUAAAAAAAGCAAGCACAGAUUAAUGACCUAUCUACACCCUACACGGUUUUAGGACUGCGCCUAGAUGGGCUUAAAGACCCUAGCCUAAAACCUGUAAAUGUGCUUCCGUCUUUGCCCUGUAGGACAAGAAAGCCUUACGGACUUGCUUCUAACUGUGAGAGGAGGAGAGGCCGGGAAGGGAGAGGGAGAAAAGGAGGAGAACAGGAGACGAGAAGGAGGGGAGAGUGAGGAGAGGAGGAGAGAGGCUUGUCAAAAUCUUUUUAGUGCACAAAACUAAUUUUGUUCAUCUUGGAUUUGGUGAGCUGGGUAAUAUUCUGUGCACGGCUUCUAAAUGAAUUAUUAAAUGUCAACUCAAGAUGGCUUAACUAAAAUACUCAAUUUAAUAACCAAAAGUAUCUAAGGUAACAACAACAAUUUUGCAGGUGAUUGUAGAGUUGUCAAGUCAAACCAUUAUAGACAAGCAUUUGGGGUUUUCACAUAAUCUCCUUCCACAUCUCAUCUUCUGUCACUAAAUACCCACUCUGGUGAGCAUAUUCCAUUUCAAUAAAGAUCAUCGCUUCGGUGCCA